AAUAUAAUCCCAAAUGAAUAAACAUCUGAUUUUGGAGUAAGCUCUCCUGAGGUAAGAAACUCGGGAUCCAUGUAUGGGAUAGUGCCUUUGGGGACAGUUCUCCAACAUAUGCUUGAGCCUUCAUUUUGAGAAAGUUGAUGACUGAUUCCAAAGUCACUUAGUUUACUCACAAAAUUGGCAUCAAGUAGUAUGUUAGCAGGUUUUAGAUCGGCGUGCACUAUGCAGUGGGGUUUACUGGAGUGAAGAAAGAUAAGGACAGAGCAUAA
rnacentral:misc_RNA from 1 species